GUGGAAACAUCACCUAAGUGACUGCUUUUGAGAAAAGCUUUUAAGAAGUUAACAGUAAAUGAACUAGGAAACCAAAGAAGAAUGCAAAGCUGAAAGUCUUGGAGGAUUCAUCAGAUGCACACAACUGCCACCCGAUGGGAAAACAGAGAACAUGACAAACAGCACAUAAAUAAAAGGCAGAUGAAAAGUGGGAGGGUGAAUUUGGGAAUUUGAUUUCAGAACAAAAAAGUGUCUUAUGUAUCCAUCAUAAGUAAGACUCAUAAGAGCCUGCUAGCUCUUUCGUGUGUGUGAAUGUGCGUGUUUUUUCCCCUUCCCUCCACCUCCCUUCCUCUCUUGCUUUUUCUUUCAGAAAUAGACAGCCUACAGUCUGAAGAGAAGCUUAGAGAGAAAUCUAUGCCUUUUUGUCAUACAUGAUGAACUGAAUAAUCUCACGAGAAAGAGUUUAAGCAUCGUAGGGGCCUGUGAAGAACAUGGAUAUGGAUCCUCUAAGAAAGAUUUUUGUAUACUGUAAUAGGAAAAUGAGAGAGCAUUGCUAAAUGAGUCAGGAAGCAGCAACUACUUCCCUUGACAAUUACUGCUUUGCAUUAGAGCAGAGAAGCACCCAGACACCGGAAACAUCAUCUAAGGAGCAGCAGCAUGAUGACAAAGGACAAAACAUACAAUACAUUGAAUAAAC
rnacentral:lncRNA from 1 species